GACGGAUUUCUCUCCGUUCAGUUUCACCUUGAUUUGUCCCUGCGUUGACGGAAAUUCAUCGCCGCUGUCUUUUCUGAGCAAAACCUAAAACAUUCACGUGAAAGAAGCAAAGUGCUGAAAAACUACGCCGUGAGUGAGUGGAGCAAGACGGGCAGCACGAGCACAGCUGCGGCAGAUGUGGAGCCCGUGAUUGACAGUUGCGCUGGUCCCACUGACAUCUCUGAUCUGUCCUUACUCCCAGAGAUUGUGAUCUUCUUGAUGGAUCUGGACACGGCAGAGGGAGAGGUGACGUUCUGGUUCAGCUGGUCCUCGGCUGCCAUGUCCUCCUGUUUGUGUGUGACGGGGGCUACUUGCUUGACGAUGGGCGAGACGAGACAGGGGCCAUGUGCACAGACCUGCGAUCGGCUGAGGCAAGUGGAGGGUUGAGCAGAAAGUGGAGGGAGAGCUCAGUUCUCCACCUUCUUGUGCAUGUUGAGAAUGCACAGCACACAGCCCAGGACGGCUUCCUUGGACUCCUGGGAUCGAAUGCGGUCCCAGACG